GAUGAACGCUGGCGGCGUGCCUAAUACAUGCAAGUCGAGCGAACGGACGAGAAGCUUGCUUCUCUGAUGUUAGCGGCGGACGGGUGAGUAACACGUGGAUAACCUACCUAUAAGACUGGGAUAACUUCGGGAAACCGUAGCUAAUACCGGAUAAUAUUUUGAACCGCAUGGUUCAAAAGUGAAAGACGGUCUUGCUGUCACUUAUAGAUGGAUCCGCGCUGCAUUAGCUAGUUGGUAAGGUAACGGCUUACCAAGGCAACGAUGCAUAGCCGACCUGAGAGGGGGAUCGGCCACACUGGAACUGAGACCCGGUCCAGACUCCUACGGGAGGCAGCAGUAGGGAAUUUUCCGCAAUGGGCGAAAGCCUGACGGAAAAACGCCGGGUGGGGUAUGAAGGUCUUCGGAUCGUAAAACUCUUUUAUUAGGGAAAAAAAUAUGUGUAAGUAACGGUGCAAAUCUUGACGGUACCUAAGCAGAAAGCCACGGCUAACUACGU
rnacentral:rRNA from 1 species